UCCUCAAUGGCUCAGUCAGUUAGAGCAUCUGCCAUGCAAGCAGGAGAUCCCAGGUUCGAGUCCUGGUUGGGGCA